GGCGGACGGGUGAGUAACGUAUGGACAACCUACCUCCAACCCGGGGAUAACAGCUGGAAACGGCUGCUAAUACCCGAUAGCUCCGGUAGCGAAUUUCGCAGCCGGAUAAAGGGGGGCAACUCCCAGUUAGAGAGGGGUCCAUAUCCCAUCAGCUAGUUGGCGGGGUAAUGGCCCACCAAGGCAACGACGGGUAGCCGGACUGAGAGGUCGACCGGCCACAUCGGGACUGAGACACUGCCCGGACUCCUACGGGAGGCUGCAGUCGAGAAUCUUCCGCAAUGUGCGAAAGCAUGACGGAGCGACGCCGCGUGCAGGAUGAAGGCCUUCGGGUUGUAAACUGCUGUCACCCGUUAAGAACGUUCAGUUUAACAAACUGAGCUGACGUUAGCGGGUAAGGAAGCCACGGCUAACUUCGUGCCAGCAGCCGCGGUAAGACGAAGGUGGCAACCGUUGCUCGGAUUCACUGGGCAUAAAGCGCGCGUAGGUGGCUCGGCAGGUCACUGGUGAAAUCCCACGGCUCAACCGUGGACCCGCCAGUGAAACCGCCUUGCUUGAGGACGAGAGGGGAGAAUGGAACUCUUGGUGUAGCGGUGAAAUGCGUAGAUAUCAAGAGGAACGCCGGUGGCGAAAGCGAUUCUCUGGAUCGUUCCUGACACUGAGGCGCGAAAGCUAGGGGAGCAAACAGGAUUAGAUACCCUGG
rnacentral:rRNA from 1 species